UCGAGGAUCUUCGGCAAUGGGCGCAAGCCUGACCGAGCGACGCCGCGUGUGCGAUGAAGGCCUUCGGGUUGUAAAGCACUGUCGAGGGGGAGGAAGCCGCAAGGUUGACCUAUCCCUGGAGGAAGCACGGGCUAAGUUCGUGCCAGCAGCCGCGGUAAGACGAACCGUGCAAACGUUGUUCGGAAUCACUGGGCUUAAAGGGCGCGUAGGCGGGCCAUCAAGUCCGGGGUGAAAGCCCCCAGCUUAACUGGGGAAGUGCCUUGGAUACUGGUGGCCUCGAGGAGGGUAGGGGCAUCUGGAACGUUGGGUGGAGCGGUGAAAUGCGUUGAUAUCCAACGGAACUCCGGUGGCGAAAGCGAGGUGCUGGACCCUUUCUGACGCUGAUGCGCGAAAGCCAGGGGAGCAAACGGGAUUAGAUACCCCCGUAGUCC
rnacentral:rRNA from 1 species